rfam:Simian immunodeficiency virus 2 isolate SIVmnd-2, complete genome.
GCCCUCCGGAAAAAAGAAAUACCAGCUGAAACACAUAAUAUGGGUAAGCAAGGAACUAGACAGAUUUGGCCUUCAUGAAAAGC